AACCAGACUCCUACGGGAGGCAGCAGUGGGGGAUAUUGCACAAUGGGGGAAACCCUGAUGCAGCGACGCCGCGUGGACGAAGAAGUAUUUCGGUAUGUAAAGCCCUAUCAGCAGGGAAGAAGAAAUGACGGUACCUGAGUAAGAAGCACCGGCUAAAUACGUGCCAGCAGCCGCGGUAAUACGUAUGGUGCAAGCGUUAUCCGGAUUUACUGGGUGUAAAGGGAGCGCAGGCGGCACGGCAAGCCUGAAGUGGAAGCCCGCGGCCCAACCGCGGAACUGCUUUGGGAACUGUUUUGCUGGAGUAUGGGAGGGGUAAGCGGAAUUCCUGGUGUAGCGGUGAAAUGCGUAGAUAUCAGGAGGAACACCGGUGGCGAAGGCGGCCUGCUGGACUGUAACUGACGUUGAGGCUCGAAAGCGUGGGGAGCAAACAGGAUUAGAUACCCGCGUAA
rnacentral:rRNA from 1 species